UCUUUGCUGACGAGCGGCGGACGGGUGAGUAAUGUCUGGGAAACUGCCCGAUGGAGGGGGAUAACUACUGGAAACGGUAGCUAAUACCGCAUAACGUCGCAAGACCAAAGAGGGGGACCUUCGGGCCUCUUGCCAUCGGAUGUGCCCAGAUGGGAUUAGCUAGUAGGUGGGGUAACGGCUCACCUAGGCGACGAUCCCUAGCUGGUCUGAGAGGAUGACCAGCCACACUGGAACUGAGACACGGUCCAGACUCCUACGGGAGGCAGCAGUGGGGAAUAUUGCACAAUGGGCGCAAGCCUGAUGCAGCCAUGCCGCGUGUAUGAAGAAGGCCUUCGGGUUGUAAAGUACUUUCAGCGGGGAGGAAGGUGAUAAGGUUAAUAACCUCGUCAAUUGACGUUACCCGCAGAAGAAGCACCGGCUAACUCCGUGCCAGCAGCCGCGGUAAUACGGAGGGUGCAAGCGUUAAUCGGAAUUACUGGGCGUAAAGCGCACGCAGGCGGUCUGUCAAGUCGGAUGUGAAAUCCCCGGGCUCAACCUGGGAACUGCAUUCGAAACUGGCAGGCUUGAGUCUCGUAGAGGGGGGUAGAAUUCCAGGUGUAGCGGUGAAAUGCGUAGAGAUCUGGAGGAAUACCGGUGGCGAAGGCGGCCCCCUGGACGAAGACUGACGCUCAGGUGCGAAAGCGUGGGGAGCAAACAGGAUUAGAUACCCUGGUAGUCCACGCCGUAAACAGAUGUCUAUUUGGAGGUUGUGCCCUUGAGGCGUGGCUUCCGGAGCUAACGCGUUAAAUAGACCGCCUGGGGAGUACGGCCGCAAGGUUAAAACUCAAAUGAAUUGACGGGGGCCCGCACAAGCGGUGGAGCAUGUGGUUUAAUUCGAUGCAACGCGAAGAACCUUACCUACUCUUGACAUCCAGAGAACUUUCCAGAGAUGGAUUGGUGCCUUCGGGAACUCUGAGACAGGUGCUGCAUGGCUGUCGUCAGCUCGUGUUGUGAAAUGUUGGGUUAAGUCCCGCAACGAGCGCAACCCUUAUCCUUUGUUGCCAGCGGUUAGGCCGGGAACUCAAAGGAGACUGCCAGUGAUAAACUGGAGGAAGGUGGGGAUGACGUCAAGUCAUCAUGGCCCUUACGAGUAGGGCUACACACGUGCUACAAUGGCGUAUACAAAGAGAAGCGACCUCGCGAGAGCAAGCGGACCUCAUAAAGUACGUCGUAGUCCGGAUUGGAGUCUGCAACUCGACUCCAUGAAGUCGGAAUCGCUAGUAAUCGUGGAUCAGAAUGCUACGGUGAAUACGUUCCCGGGCCUUGUACACACCGCCCGUCACACCAUGGGAGUGGGUUGCAAAAGAAGUAGGUAGCUUAACCUUCGGGAGGGCGCUUACCACUUUGUGAUUCAUGACUGGGGUGAAGUCGUAACAAGG
rnacentral:rRNA from 1 species